CUUAUCAAGAGUGGUUGAGGGACGGGCCCGAUGAAACCCGGCAACCGGCUUCGGCUUGGUGCUAAUUCCCGCGGCGAUAUGCCGAAAGAUGAGG
rnacentral:ncRNA from 1 species